AUACGUAGGGUGCGAGCGUUGUCCGGAAUUACUGGGCGUAAAGAGCUCGUAGGUGGAUUGUCGCGUCGUCUGUGAAAUUCCGGGGCUUAACUCCGGGCGUGCAGGCGAUACGGGCAUAACUUGAGUACUGUAGGGGAGACUGGAAUUCCUGGUGUAGCGGUGAAAUGCGCAGAUAUCAGGAGGAACACCGGUGGCGAAGGCGGGUCUCUGGGCAGUAACUGACGCUGAGGAGCGAAAGCAUGGGUAGCGAACAGGAUUAGAUACCCUGGUAGUCCAUGCCGUAAACGGUGGGCGCUAGGUGUAGGGGUCUUCCACGACUUCUGUGCCGUAGCUAACGCAUUAAGCGCCCCGCCUGGGGAGUACGGCCGCAAGGCUAAAACUCAAAUGAAUUGACGGGG
rnacentral:rRNA from 1 species